CCUUGUACACACCGCCCGUCACACCAUGGGAGUUGGUUUGACCUUAAGCUGGUGCGCCAACCCGCAAGGGGGGCAGCCAACCACGGUCGGGUCAGGCGACUGGGGUG
rnacentral:rRNA from 1 species